AGGGAUAGAUAACCUAUCAAAACUAUGAUCUGGGUAUAAAAGAGCCACUCUGGCUAACUGAUUAAAAUGCAACAUAACAUUGUUUCUUAGACUAAUAAGAUCCCCGCAGCUUUCAACCACCUGACCAAACAAAGACCUCAUAGGAACUCGACUUCUCAUAGCCUACACAGCCACCAGACAAUCAGAUUCGAUCUCCACGCACCCUCUCCCAGUCACUGCGAUCACUCCAGCUUAUUGCUUCCUUGAUUUCCAUUACCUCUGUCCAUUCUGCAGAAUUCAGUCCCCGAUAUAUAUACUCGAGUCUUUGCCUGUAUUAGUCACCAGCUAUAUAUCAAUCCAACAGCAACUUCUUCUCGGGUUGCAGUCUUCGGCUUUCCACUUAAAAUUUGCAACAAACCAUCAUCCAGAUUUUACGCAACGAUAAAGAGAUGAACGAUCACGAAGCAAGCACAAGUGGCACAAAGGAUGAAAUUGAGAUGACUCAAUUUCCGCGUACAUAUUUUGAGAACGACAGCGAUAGUGACGAAGAUUUUGACCGAUACUCAUAUGUAUAUGAGAUCGAUGAAAACGCCGAGGGACAAAUUAUAUCUUCUCCACAGGUUCCAACUCCCGUAGUUAAUAUACAACCAGCUGAUAUUAUCCCCCCUCCUAAACGUUAUUCCUUCCGUGUCAUAAUUUUUAUUUUUAUUUGUCUUCUUAUUUCAUCUGCUUUUUUCUUGUCGAUAUAUUUGUACAUAAAAUUAACUUUACAAAAAGUUACCCUACAACCUUCCAUGGCAAAUAUCAUUAGUUUUAAUACUAAUGAUAGCCAUGUACCUCUCAACAUCACCUUCUCAUAUAAAUUCUACAAUCCAAAUUAUGAAUAUAAUUUGGAUGUACAUGAUGGGAUAGUUGUCCUCUACUCUCGUCAUAUUCUUCAUAAACCCCUUGUAAUUAGCUUUAGUGAUUUAUCUCUCCAACCUCGUCAACAGAAAAUUGUUGAUUUUAAUUUUUUCGCAAAAGAUCCCGAUUUUAGAUUAGAUAGUUACACAGAAUAUUUCUUAAGAAACAACCGAUAUUAUUUUGAACUCACCGUCAAAGUUAGAAUGAGAAUUUAUAUUCUUUAUUUUCCAUUAUCAUUUUACCGUUCUAAGGUGCAUACAUGCCAAUUCAUGGUUAAGGGUCAGCCUCCUACAGGAUCUGUUCCCGUCAGUAAAAUUACUUGUCAAUAAAAUAAAAUUCAUUCUAGUUUUGACGGUGCAUUUUAAAUAAUACCGGUUGUUUAUUAUUAAAUCUUCUGUAUCCACUUCUAAAUCUGAAUCGUUCUUCAUACAUCAUAUUUUUUUCCCUCGGCGUUUCAUACAAGGAUAAUGAAUGACUUAAUCGAGG